CCUACGGGAGGCAGCAGUAAGGAAUAUUGGUUCAAAGGACGAAAGUCUGAACCAGCCAUGCCGCGUGGAGGAUGAAGGCCCUCUGGGUUGUAAACUUCUUUUAUUUGGGAAGAAACCCAUCUUUUCUAAGGUGGUUGACGGUACCAGAUGAAUAAGCACCGGCUAACUCCGUGCCAGCAGCCGCGGUAAU
rnacentral:rRNA from 1 species